rnacentral:rRNA from 1 species
AGUGAACGCUGGCGGUAGGCCUAACACAUGCCAGUCGAACGGCAGCACAGGAGAGCUUGCUCUCUAGGUGGCGAGUGGCGGACGGGUGAGGAAUACAUCGGAAUCUGCCCAGUCGUGGGGGAUAACGUAGGGAAACUUACGCUAAUACCGCAUACGACCUUCGGGUGAAAGAGGGGGAUCGCAAGACCUCUCGCGAUUGGAUGAGCCGAUGUCGGAUUAGCUAGUUAGCGGGGUAAUGGCCCACCAAGGCGACGAUCCGUAGCUGGUCUGAGAGGAUGAUCAGCCACACUGGAACUGAGACACGGUCCAGACUCCUACGGGAGGCAGCAGUGAGGAAUAUUGGACAAUGGGCGCAAGCCUGAUCCAGCCAUACCGCGUGGGUGAAGAAGGCCUUCGGGUUGUAAAGCCCUUUUGUUGGGAAAGAAAUCUUUCAGGCUAAUACCCUGGGAGGAUGACGGUACCCAAAGAAUAAGCACCGGCUAACUUCGUG